rnacentral:lncRNA from 1 species
UGUUUUUACCUUUUAUAUUAAAAUGUUAUUAAUAUUAUGUUUUAUGCUAAAAAUAGUUCAACAAGUAUUUGGGAAAGUUUGCUGUAAUUUUAAUAAAGUUCGUGUUAACGAUGAUGAUAUGCAAAUGAGUUUACAGCCAAAAGACGGGAGGAGAGGAGGUGGCGAUGUCUCGCCUGUUGCUCUGUUGUGUGCUGUUUGCUUACUCUUUGUGGAUGGUUCAUCAGGACUUACAAAUUGUUUGUGUGGAUAACUCUUUACCUCCGAAUUGUGAGUUAAUGUUAUGUGGAAGUGAAAUCUGUUUUGAGAAUUAUUUGAUACAGGCGAGAUUCAACUCUUGUAAGUUAUUCUUUUGUUUUACUAAUAAAAAGUUACAAUUUGGUAAAUGGAGCAGUUUGUUGAUCUAAUUCGGCACUUGUUGGGGGCUAAUGAACUAAAUAUUCAAAUAAAAAUUAGCUUCGAUAAAAAGCCUGUUAGGCUGAAAUCCCAGGGUCAGAACUGACGUGAAAACGUGGGCAAAGUCCCCGUUUUUAC